rnacentral:rRNA from 1 species
CUUCAACGGAGAGUUUGAUCCUGGCUCAGGAUGAACGCUGGCGGCGUGCUUAACACAUGCAAGUCGAACGAUGACCCGGUGCUUGCACCGGUGAUUAGUGGCGAACGG